AGUGAACGCUGGCGGUAGGCCUAACACAUGCAAGUCGAACGGCAGCACAGUAAGAGCUUGCUCUUACGGGUGGCGAGUGGCAGACGGGUGAGGAAUACAUCGGAAUCUACUUUUUCGUGGGGGAUAACGUAGGGAAACUUACGCUAAUACCGCAUACGACCUACGGGUGAAAGCAGGUGAUCUUCGGACCUUGCGCGAUUGAAUGAGCCGAUGUCGGAUUAGCUAGUUGGCGGGGUAAAGGCCCACCAAGGCGACGAUCCGUAGCUGGUCUGAGAGGAUGAUCAGCCACACUGGAACUGAGACACGGUCCAGACUCCUACGGGAGGCAGCAGUGGGGAAUAUUGGACAAUGGGCGCAAGCCUGAUCCAGCCAUACCGCGUGGGUGAAGAAGGCCUUCGGGUUGUAAAGCCCUUUUGUUGGGAAAGAAAAGCAGCAGGUUAAUACCCCGCUGUUCUGACGGUACCCAAAGAAUAAGCACCGGCUAACUUCGUG
rnacentral:rRNA from 1 species